rnacentral:tRNA from 1 species
GCCCGGGUAGCCCAAUGGCAGAGGCACGCGUCCUUAAAAGACGCUGCUCUUCGGAGCGUGCGGGUUCGAAUCCCGCCCCGGGCA